CAGAGAGGAGAGGUGGGCUGCAGGCUGGGAGAGACAAUGGGCCCUUUGGAUCUGCACUGUCCAGGUAUUAGGAGGGCACCGUGUCGACAAUGGCAACGGAGCCAGAGGCUGAGUGGUACACCUCCCACGGUCAGUGACCAGGGUGAGAGGGGCAAGUAAUGCCUCAGGCGGGAGCCCCUUGCUGGCACAUCAGAACAUGAGCCGCACAUUCCCCACCCUCCAUUUAAAAAGCAUGGGAACAGCAGCUCUGGCAGCAGAACUCACCAUGGCAGAGCAUCAGCCAACCAUUGCUGAUGGGAAGACAGAUGGACAGAAGGACAGACCGAUGGCCUUCCUGAGAUCAGCAGGGAUGUGCAGACACUGCAUGGAGCGCGGGCAGGCCAGGUGCCGCACAGACAGCCUCUUCCAAACCCUGGCUUGUGCAGGUACCACUCCGAUCCUGGCAAUCGGCUCAGCCCCACAUGGGGUGGCUGCUAAUUCCUGGGCAAUAGCAUAGCAAUUUGGGGAUUCUGCAUGUCCUGAAUAUAUGAAUGCACAAAGAGACAGAAUAGGAACUUGCUCAGGUCUACCCAGAAAUUGGAAAUCGUUCCAUUACGCAGUGGGAAUGGACUGCAGUCCCAGUUUUCCUCCCCUUUCAGAUUAUCCAGCCUUCAUUAUAUAUAAUCCUUUGGUACGUGGUGGAGCACAAGGAAGGUUUUGCUAGCAGCAAAAGCAAUUUGGUAGCAUACAACUGAUCUGUCGCUGAUCUCUGACCAGGGCCUGGGCCAGGAGCUGCCCACAGCUCCCACCCGGCUGCUGGAUGGGAAAGCACAACGUGCCCCUGCACGGUGCUUUUGUAAACCGAGAGGAAAGUUAAAGCACCUGUGGGCUGAUUCUGAUGGAACUGGUUCUCUAAGGGGUGGGGAGACCCAGCACAAACAGCAGACCUUCCCCAGGCUACAGCAUCAGCACUUCGGUAUCAGCUUUUCCUGACACCAGAGCACUGCAGAAUGUCAGGAGCACAGGGAAAGCUGUUGAGAGGAGAGAGAAAUAUCACCGAUGUGCCAACAAAAGGCAUGUAUUCAAGAUUCAUUAAAAUUAUGAGCCAAGGUCUACUGUGUGACACCGAUUAAUCAAAACACCAUAAAUUAGAUCUGAUGUUCUGCAUAUUGGGAAUUUCUCCCGUGUAUCUCCAGUCACAACAACAUGGAUUCCUCAUACCUGCUUCGCAGUUGCACAUUUCCACCUCCUCAGAUUUAAGAGCUGUUAUUAUAACGUCAAAAUAACCAAUUAAAAAAAAACGAACGCCAUCCAUUUGUGUCAGAAAGGAAUCAAGAAAGCGCUGUGUUUAUUCUCCACGCAUCUCAGAUUUGAUAACAUAAAUCGAACUGGGAGAAGUCUGUGAAUAAACAGCCUUCAGACCAGAGGCCAGCAGGAUUCACCCGUGCGCCACAGCACGUGUGUCUAUCAGCACACACCUGUGUUUUACCUCUGGAGAAGAGUCAGCAGGGAAGCCCUGAGCACCUGCUGCAAUCACCCCUCCAUGCAGGAGAAAGGAAAAAAGGCCACUGAGAUGCAGUAAAAACCAGGAGCAGAUCUUGCCCUGCCCGCUGAUCCCAGUCUGAUAGCACAUUGUGUCUGUAAAAAGGGACACAUUUUCACGUUGUUACGAGGAAGGGCAGCCUUGCUGCAAGGCUCGUUCUCUUUGAAGCCAAGUGCUGUGAGCACAGAGGCACCUGCAGACAUGGGGUGCCCAUCUGGGGCACAGCCCAGGCAUCCCAGAGCUGCAGCAGGCCAGUGGGCAUCCACAUACCUUCUUUUAGCCCCAUCUCUUUCAUUUUAAGUGCCACUGCACUGCUGAAAAAUACUUAUAGUUAAUCAGCACUGCUUAAUCCUGUUCACUUCCAUCUGUAUCCUG
ensembl:lncRNA